rnacentral:rRNA from 1 species
GACAGAGGUCUCGAGCGUUAGGCGGAAUCACUGGGCUUAAAGCGUGUGUAGGCGGAUUGCUAAGUACCUUGUGAAAUCCCACGGCUUAACCGUGGAACUGCUUGGUAUACUGGCUGUCUUGAGCCACUUAGGGGCAACCGGAACAAACGGUGGAGCGGUGAAAUGCGUAGAUAUCGUUUGGAACGCCAAUGGUGAAAACAGGUUGCUGGGAGUGUGCUGACGCUGAGACACGAAAGCCAGGGGAGCAAACGGG